CAAAAUCUUCACCAACUACAAUUGUUGUU
rnacentral:sRNA from 1 species